rnacentral:misc_RNA from 1 species
GAACGCACAUUGCGCCCCCUGGUAUUCCGGGGGGCAUGCCUGUCCGAGCGUCAUUGCUGCCCUCAAGCACGGCUUGUGUGUUGGGCCCCCGCCCCCCGGCUCCCGGGGGGCGGGCCCGAAAGGCAGCGGCGGCACCGCGUCCGGUCCUCGAGCGUAUGGGGCUUUGUCACUCGCUCGUGUAGGUCCGGCCGGCGCCAGCCGACACCCAUCAAUCUUACCCAGGUUGACCUCGGAUCAGGUAGGGAUACCCGCUGAACUUAAG